GUCCAGCUCAGACCCUACCCCUGACAAGUGGACCCCCUCGAGCCCAAGGAGCCUUUCCAGAGAUCAGCUCCCUCAGGGAAUUCAGCUAUGGUUGCAUCCUAGGAUGUGCUCCAGGUUUGUAAAAAGUUUCAGAUCCACACAGUCACCCAGGAUGGGAGCAGCUGGCCUGGAGAGUGACCUGGAUAGUUGGCUCCCUCCGUCUUUGGUGAAGGGGCCUCUGGGACAUCUGUGAUCAGUGCUGGGAAAGCUAAAGGGCUUCGCAGGGGUUAGUGCGUUUGGGAGCUGGCUGGACAUCCCUCCAUUUAUAAUCGGAAGACUCCCACUUAUAACCUGGGGCCCACACCUGUAACCCAGGCUCCUUAGCAAAACCUACAGGUUGGUAAGGAUGGGGAAUUCAGGACAAGGUCUUAGGGCUAUCACGAGUAUUUAUACUCCCGUCUUGCCCUAUGAUUAUUCCCGUUUGUCAUAGUUUGCAGAGGUCAGGCUGCUGCUUUUAACACAAAAGCAUUUUUCAAAAUAUAUUUUUAUUGAUUUCAGAGAAAGGAGAAUGACACAUAAACAUCAAUGAGAGAAUUGACCAACUGCCUCCUGCAUGCCCCCUAUUGACAAAGCCAGUAAUCCAGGCAUCUGACCAGGAAUUGAACUGUGACCUGGUUGGUUUAUAGGUCAGUGUUCAACCACUGAGCCACACUGCCCAGUCUCAACCCAAAGCAUUAUUUCCCACUCUUUAAUCUUUCUUUUUUGUGGGAAUUCAUGAAAUAAUAGUAUAUCUCAUUACCAAUGGCCUAAUAUUUGAUGGCAGUAUUGUUAAUCCCCCUUUAAGGAAAAUAGAAGUGGGAAGUGAGAGGCCAAAAAGCCUCAACUGAGGAUUUCUGCUGGGAAAAGGGCUGAAGCCACAAGAGGGUCCCAGGAGAGGCUGAGAGUAGCUCUACUGAGGUCUUAGGCCCUGGAGGGAGGGAGGGAGGAAGAGGAACAUCGGUGUGAGAGAAAGAGACACAAUUAGUUGCCUCCUGCAUGCCACUGACUGGGUAUUAAACCUGCCCUCUGGUUAUGUGCCCUGACCAUUAAUUCAACCCACCACUUUUUGGUGUACAGGACAAUGCUCCAACCAACUGAACCACACUAGCUAGGGCAGCUAUAGUUAAUUUUAAUAACAUUUCCUCAAAAUCUAGUGUACAUUCACAGCACGUCUCCAUUUGGACAGUCACAUUACAAGAGCUUACUAGUCAGAUGUGGCCAGUGGCUGCUGUACUGGACUUUAUAGCUCUCAUUCAUGAGGGCACAGCAGUGACCAAGACACCCAGAUUCAGCACCAGCCCCAGUGAUCCCAGUCUAGUGCCAGAGACAAGGAAAAUGGGUAAAGAAAUAUAA